rnacentral:siRNA from 1 species
GGGUUUUUGGGUUGAGUUGAG